rnacentral:lncRNA from 1 species
GCCAAGUUUUGUUUUGUGUGUUGUUUUGUUUUGUUUUGCUUGAGGACAAGCAAAAUUCUAAGUUUGGGGUGUUGAUGAAGGUUGAAAAACAAUUAUUUUUAUAUGUCAAUUUGGACCAAAUUACACCCUUUACUACUGGGAAUGAGCUUAGAAUCAAGCAAAACUCCAUAAAUGAGUCUGGAGAGAGACAAAAGUUGUUUUUAGCGAUUUUAUGCUUGUUUUGCAUUGUUUUGAAGCUAAUUUAAGAAAAGUAGAGAAUGGAGUUGAAGAUACAGGUCGUUGACUCAAGAAAAGAGCAGAAAAAUGAAGAUUUGAAGAGUCGACGCACCGUCCGGCGGCACACUUAAACCGUCGGGCGGUCCAGGAUGAGGAGAAGGCAUGGCGAUUGACGUUGGGCGGACCUGAGGGGGGCGGUGGCGAUUGCUACCGGGCGGUAGGGCGAUUUGUGGCAAACCGCCGGGCGGCACACUUAAACCGCCCGGCGGUGGCUCGCUGGACUUGGGCCUGUUUUCUGAUGCGCUCCUCACCUAUAUAUACCCCUAUUGCGAGUUCAGAAUCAUUCUUCUGAUAGGGGAGUACGGCCAGACCUAAUUUUGUUCUCUGGAGAGGACCUCUUGGAUGCUUAGGCUCCUUUUCAUCUUUUCUAGGGUUUGCUUUUCCAUUCUUCUUCCAUUUUUCAUCUAGUUUCGCCAUGUCUAUGGUGAACUAAACCCUAUUGUUGUUGGGGGAAACAAUGUAAUCUUUUGAUACUCUCUCUUAUUGAAUCUCUUGAUUAUUUAUAUGGUCUCCAUAUGUUUUGAUUCAUUAUUGUUGGGUUAUCAUCUGUGCUUAAGGCCUUUAUCGUUUAACUCAUUCGGUAUAUUGAUGUUUGUGUUUAUUGAUAUGGGGACGUACAGUAAUGACAUGAACUUGUGAGUAAUCUCUUGAUUUUGCAAUACCACCUACGGAUAGGGGUAGGAUGAUCAAUUGCGCUAACUUUUGUUUAUAAUGCGGUAUUAAUUACUAGGGAAGGCUAGGGAUAGCAAGCCAGUAGUUAAUAUUAUGCCCUUUUCGCCGAGGGAUCGGGUUAAGGGGAGGCUAAGAAAGUCGCAUAACAAUUAAUCAAACUAAUAUUCAAGGGUAGUAUGUAAGAGAGAGUGGAAUAGAUGAAAUUGUAAACCCCCAACAACAUCCAUUCAUCCAUUAUUUUCGUUUGUCAAUUGAAUCAACUUUAUUUUUUGCAUGUUAAGAUUUUUG